AUCUAGUAGAGAAGAACUCACACAGAAGCAGCAUUAAAGAGCAGGCAUACUUACAAUCUAAAUGAGGCCAAUAUUU